rnacentral:lncRNA from 1 species
GCACAGACAAUUUUGUCUUCUGGAAGCACCUCAAUGGCUAGGAAUGGAGGCCAGUGACUCUUAGCAAGUGCCUUGAGUUUUCACAUCUGGGCUGAACGCAACAUCUGGAAAGGGGAACGUUCUCAAUAACGGGAAAGGAGACAAUGGGGCUUUGGAAAUCUUCAUCCACAACUUGUGGGCAUGUUCAGAGUACAUGAUCAAGUCUGCGGCCUCAGAGACCAUGAAACCUAAUGGAGGAACUUAAAAAGAUAUAUUGUAGUUCCUUACUGGAAAGAUCGCUGCAGGUACUAUAGCUACCCGCUACAGCUUUAAGCAGAAAUUUCCCAGACAUAGUAUGCUUUGGUUGAGGAGAGAGUCUCCUUCCAUUCUUGGCACUGUGGUCUUUACAUGGUAGCCAUGUAUCUUUCUUGAGUCUUCCUUUCUCUUUCUUCACUGUCUUGGUACCAAAGCUCUGAUCAGUUAGGGCUGAUGCAUCUUCCUUUAUCUUGUAUAAAGAUUGACCCC